rnacentral:lncRNA from 1 species
GUGGUGAGGAGGAUGAUGGUGUGGUCGUGUUGACAGAAAGAGAGAAGCGGCAUCGAAGGUAGGAGAUGAAACCGGUUUGAAUUUUGGUGGCGGUGACCGGUGGCGGCUUGUGGAAGGGAUUGAAGAAGAGAAACGGAACAAGUGUUUUUUUCUUAAAAAAUAUAUUUUAUUUUAUUUUUUUCUUUUCUUAAUUGGACAUUUUUUUAUUAUUAAAUUUUGC